AUUGGGACUUACUUUUGGUGGAGCACAUAUAUCUACCAUUUACAAGUUUUAGCUUUGAUGGUUGACCUGUUUCGUAUUUGUUUUAGGAUGCCUUUUAUCUUUGUGAUGAUAGUGAUAAAAAGUCUCUUUCUAAUUUUAAAUAAAAUAGUUUUAUUUACUCACAAUAUAUGGCAUUGAUUUUUUUAGAGUCCUUAUGAGGUAGUUAUUCUUUUGGUCAAGUCUAAAUUCCUAAUCUUGAACAGCAAAUGAAUUAUCACAGUUGAUGGGAUGGGAUUAUUUUAGAAUACAAGUCGUAGACCUAUGUGAUAUGUAGGAAUAACCAAAUUUAGUAAGAGAAAUGAUAUUUGCAGUCCUUGGGUGUGCAAGCCCCACACACUUCCUUUGAAAAAAAUGGGUAAAUCUGGGACCUACAAGGAAAAAAUUAUUUUUUUAAUGGUGAACUCCACUUUUUUCAAAGGGAGUGCGUGAGGCUUGCACACCCUAGAACUAUAUCUAGCAUAACUCAUUUAUUAAACAAAAAAGUGUAUUUUGUUGGAGGGCAUAAUUGUUGUUAGAGACCAUAAUUGUAAUUAGUAUACCCCAUGAUGGUAGAAAUGUAAAAAUGUAAGCUAAGUUAUAUGCGUAGUGCUACGUGUACUUAUAAUUUUAUGUAAAAGAUCCAUUUUAUCAGUUUUAUUUUUAAAUUCAAAUUUUGAAUUUUAAAUUUCAUAAUUUUCAGCAUAUCAAUAGCUGACACGCUAACACGUAUUGUUAUAUAUGUAAAAAUUGUAAGUACAAAUAUCAUUUUCCAAAUUAUAUAUGGUGCAAUAGUAAGAGUGUAGAACCAGAUCUUUGAACUACCUAUCAUUUUCCCUCUUCUCCAUUCUCCAUGGGUUCUCCCAAAACCCUAACGUAACAUAUUUGACUAAGGUAUACUUUACAAAAUAGAUGAAGUCUUGAAGAUUAUCAAUGUUAGAAACCCCUAGGGGUUGGCUCAAGUGGUAAAGACCAUGAUUUUGGUGGUAUGCUCCCUCCAAGGUCCAAGGUUCAAAUCCCACUGGGUGCAAACAAUCUCUAGGGGCCAUCGGACUAUGGAGUUUUCCCUUUGAAUUACCCGAUGUGCACUUGUGGGAAAUUCCUUGCCGAGGACUUGUGCAUCCCCGGGAUUACACAUUGAUUUCUAAUAUUCGUUUGAGCAUCUUGAUCUUCUCUCCCUUUACUUUGUUUCUAUGCUAGUGGUGUGAAACCUUAGAAACUUUGUUCUAUGGAGAGAGACCAAGAGCUCUUAACAAAGUGUGUAGUAACUUUGGCUAUCAAGAGCACUUAACUUACUCGAAAACUCUUAUAAAUUUAUGUAUCCAUUGGUUGAUAAAAGGCAUGCGUUGAUAAU